AUUGAACGCUGGCGGCAUGCCUAACACAUGCAAGUCGAACGGCAGCAUGAGUAGAGCUUGCUCUACUUGAUGGCGAGUGGCGAACGGGUGAGUAAUGUAUCGGAACGUGCCCAGUUGUGGGGGAUAACUGCUCGAAAGAGCAGCUAAUACCGCAUACGACCUGAGGGUGAAAGCGGGGGAUCGCAAGACCUCGCGCAAUUGGAGCGGCCGAUAUCAGAUUAGGUAGUUGGUGGGGUAAAGGCUCACCAAGCCGACGAUCUGUAGCUGGUCUGAGAGGACGACCAGACACACUGGGACUGAGACACGGCCCAGACUCCUACGGGAGGCAGCAGUGGGGAAUUUUGGACAAUGGACGGAAGUCUGAUCCAGCCAUGCCGCGUGCGGGAAGAAGGCCUUCGGGUUGUAAACCGCUUUUGUCAGGGAAGAAAAGGCUCCUUCUAAUAUAGGGGGCUCAUGACGGUACCUGAAGAAUAAGCACCGGCUAACUACGUGCCAGCCGCCGCGGUAA
rnacentral:rRNA from 1 species